GUGGUGUCCUCCUUGGUCGUCUCCCGUGAAGUCCACUUUGGCUCAAACAACGACGAAUGGUGCGAUCUGACACUGAUGUACCUUGGCCUUGGAGUUCACCUUUAAUUUCUUUGGAGGUUGCUCUGGGCUCUUUGGAUACAAUUCCAACGAUCCGUCUCUUCAAUUUGUCAUCAAUUUUCCUCUUGUGGCCACGUCCAGGGAGGUUGGCUACUGUCCCGUGGGUCUUGAACUUCUGAAUAAUAUGAGCCACUGUUGUCACAGGAACUUCAAGCUGUUUAGAGAUGGUCUUAUAGCCUUUACCUUUAAGUUGUUUGUCUAUAAUUUAUUUUUCGGAUGUCCUGGGACAAUUCUCUCCUUCGCUUUCUGUUGUCCAUGUUCAGUGUGGUACACACCUUUUCACCAAACAGCAGGGUGACUACUUGUCUCCCUUUAAAUAGGCAGACUGACUGAUUAUGAGUUUGGAAACACCUGUGAUGUCAAUUAAAUGACACACCUGAGUUAAUCAUGUCACUCUGGUCAAAUAGUUUUCAAUCUUUUAUAGAGGUACCAUCAUUUUUGUCCAGGCCUGUUUCAUUAGUUUGUUUUUUUUAAUGAUUAUGUUAAUCAACAAUUCAAAAGUAAUGGCUGUUUUUGAUUAUUUAAUUUUCAAUAAAUUUUUAUUUAUUGUUA